rnacentral:lncRNA from 1 species
GCCCUUUCAUAGAUACUGAUGUUUCUUUUUUCUUCUUUUUAGUGAGAAAACAACACUACAUCAGAAAAAAAAAUUAAUUUUCUUUUUUGAGAAAAAAAUCUAUAAGCAUAAUUAAAAUAUGAUUCUUACAAUUCCUGAAUGAACAGACCUCUGGAAUUAAAAACUCAGAAAAUGGAAAACUGAUGUUUGGAAAGCAACUGAAAAAUCAAUGAUAUAGAAGAGAAUGAAGAUACUUCAAAGGAAAGGAGAAUUACCAAUUGCUGGGCAAAAGAUGGGAAAUCAUCAAGUAAAAAAACAGGUUAUCUCCUCUCUUUGCUUAAUUGUUCGCUGGUGACUCAGAUGGCAAAGAAUCUGCCUGCAAUGCAAGAGACCCAGGUUUGAUCCUUGGGUCAGGAAGAUCCCCCUGGGGAGGGGAAUGGCUAUCCACAGUGAACCAUCAUGUUGUGCUUGAAUUUCAAACAUUUUACAUAAUUUUUCAGUCCUGAGGGCUUAUAUUAUUGAGAUAAUCAAAUUCUUUAAAUGAAAGAAAAUUUUAUCACAGUGCUUCC